rnacentral:tRNA from 1 species
GAUCAGGUGGCCGAGUGGUUAAGGCGAUGGACUGCUAAUCAAUUGGGGUUUCCCCGCGUGAGUUCGAAUCUCAUCCUGAUCG